rnacentral:rRNA from 1 species
AGUUCGGACUGGAGUCUGCAACCCGACUCCACGAAGUUGGAUUCGCUAGUAAUCGCGCAUCAGCCAUGGCGCGGUGAAUACGUUCCCAGGCCUUGUACACACCGCCCGUCAAGCCAUGGAAGCCGGGAGUACCUGAAGAUCGUGACCGCGAGGAACGGGCUAGGGUAAUACCGGUAACUGGGGCUAAGUCGUAACAAGGUACC